UACGGGAGGCAGCAGUGGGGAAUAUUGCACAAUGGGCGAAAGCCUGAUGCAGCUAUGCCGCGUGUAUGAAGAAGGCCUUAGGGUUGUAAAGUACUUUCAUCGGGGAGGAAAAACAAAACUAAUAAUUUUAUUUCUUGACGUUACCCGAAAAAGAAGCACCGGCUAACUCCGUGCCAGCAGCCGCGGUAAUACGGAGGGUGCUAGCGUUAAUCAGAAUUACUGGGCGUAAAGAGCACGUAGGUGGUUUUUUUAAGUCAGAUGUGAAAUCCCUGGGCUUAACCUAGGAACUGCAUUUUGAAACUGAAAUACUAGAGUAUCGUAGAGGGAGGUAGAAUUCUAGGUGUAGCGGUGAAAUGCGUAGAUAUCUGGAGGAAUACCUGUGGCGAAAGCGGCCUCCUAAACGAAUACUGACACUGAGGGUGCGAAAGCGUGGGGAGCAAACAGGGAUUAGGAUUACC
rnacentral:rRNA from 1 species